rnacentral:rRNA from 1 species
GAGUUUGAUUAUGGCUCAGAUUGAACGCUGGCGGCAUGCUUUACACAUGCAAGUCGGACGGCAGCACAGAGAAGCUUGCUUCUCGGGUGGCGAGUGGCGAACGGGUGAGUAAUGCAUCGGAACGUACCGAGUAGUGGGGGAUAACUGUCCGAAAGGAUGGCUAAUACCGCAUACGCUUUGAGAAGGAAAGCAGGGGCUCUUCGGACCUUGCGCUAUUCGAGCGGCCGAUGUCUGAUUAGCUGGUUGGUGGGGUAAAGGCCUACCAAGGCGACGAUCAGUAGCGGGUCUGAGAGGAUGAUCCGCCACACUGGGACUGAGACACGGCCCAGACUCCUACGGGAGGCAGCAGUGGGGAAUUUUGGACAAUGGGCGCAAGCCUGAUCCAGCCAUGCCGCGUGUCUGAAGAAGGCCUUCGGGUUGUAAAGGACUUUUGUCAGGGAAGAAAAGGUUGUGGUUAAUACCCAUGACUGAUGACGGUAC